UGCCUAACCCUCAUGCACGUAAAAUCGCAGAGGUAUGGCCGAAAAUCCUUUCCAGUAAAAAACUCCUCGUCAGAGUUCCUGGAAAGGUCAUACCUCGAAAGGGGUGUGUCGGGCCGAAAGGUUCGA
rnacentral:sRNA from 12 species